UACGUAGGGAGCAAGCGUUGUCCGGAAUCAUUGGGCGUAAAGCGCGCGUAGGUGGCUUCGUAAGUCCGUUGUGAAAGUCAAAGGCUCAACCUUUGAAAGCCGAUGGAUACUGUGAAGCUAGAGUACGGAAGAGGCGAGUGGAAUUCCUGGUGUAGCGGUGGAAUGCGCAGAUAUCAGGAGGAACACCAAUAGCGAAGGCAGCUCGCUGGGACGUUACUGACACUGAGGCGCGAAAGCGUGGGGAUCAAACAGG
rnacentral:rRNA from 1 species